ACUCCCUCACUCCCUCCUAAUUCACCCCGCCUAAUUUUGUCUUCCUCAAAACCCCCAAAAUUCCCCACAUUCCUGAAACAAAUUCAACCCCACCAACUCACCAAGUUCAGUGCGAAUCCCUUCUGAGCCCUGGUUCCGAUCUACACAGUAUCUCCACCACAACAACUACCAAUUCCAACUUCCACAAAACCAUAACAAGUUUUGGUUACCAUCAAACCCAAACUAUUGUUUCGUUUGAUUGCGAUUAUGGCUGGUUUCCGUCAGAUGAUGAGGUAUCGAAGCAGUAAACGAAUCGCUAAGGGUUUAUUUUGCUACUGAUUUUGAACGGGUUCUCUAGGGUUGAGAAUUUUGAACGGGUUCUCUAGGGUUAGUGAAGACAACACCCUCGACUUCAUCAUCAAUUCAUCACUCACAUCAGCGAAGCGACGUCAUCAUCCUGAAGACAACACCCUCGACUUCAUCUGGCCGCUACCACCGUCAAUCAUCAGAGGUAUGAUAUCAAGUUGAACAAUGCUAUCCUUGCUGAAGACAAGCAUUUGCCCAUUUUGGCUUCUUUUUAGGUAUGAAGAAAUGUCUUCUAAAUACAAUGUAGAGUACAUUGCUAGAGGUGCUACUCAAAACUCAAUCCGAGUUGCCCAAUGGAUGCUUCAAAUCCCUGGUGCAACGAGUUAAAUGGGUUGUGUUGGAAAGGACAAGUAUGGUGAGGAGAUGGAAAAGAACUCAAAAAGUGCACUAUUAUGAGGAUGAAAAUGCACCAACCGGUACAUGUGUUGUCUGUGUUGUUGGUGGCGAGAGUUAUUGGCAAAGGGGAUGAGACCAUCAAAGGCAUGCAAGACAGUUCUCGAGCAUGUAUUCAGGUUGAUCCAGAUUUAUUAUCUACUUAAAUCACUUUUAUGGAGUUCUUUGAAUUACAUGAUGCUUGCAACCAUUGGCCCAACUAGUUUAUUGUUGAUUCUUUUGAUUCUAGAGCUGAAUUUACAAACAUUUGUUUAUCCUGCCGUCUGACCCAGAUGAUGUGGAAGACGUGCGUUCCAGCUAUGGACAUGUGAACACUUGGAGGAUCAUAUGACAUCAGAUAUGGCCACCAGCCUAUAGAUGCAAAUUUGCAGCACUCCUAUGUUCAAAAUCAUUGAGUAUAUGGAUUUGAAGAAUAAAGAGUCUAGAAAUAGUUCUUUUUUAUCCAACUUUUGUAGAUAUGUUUUAUUAAAAGUUUAUAUCUUUAAUUAGUAUUUAAAUUGAAAUUUGUGUGUGAAUUUUGAGUUAUUAUUAUUAAUAUUAUUUGGUUAUUAGA